rnacentral:rRNA from 1 species
UAGGGAAUCUUCGGCAAUGGACGGAAGUCUGACCGAGCAACGCCGCGUGAGUGAAGAAGGUUUUCGGAUCGUAAAGCUCUGUUGUAAGAGAAGAACGAGUGUGAGAGUGGAAAGUUCACACUGUGACGGUAUCUUACCAGAAAGGGACGGCUAACUACGUGCCAGCAGCCGCGGUAAUACGUAGGUCCCGAGCGUUGUCCGGAUUUAUUGGGCGUAAAGCGAGCGCAGGCGGUUAGAUAAGUCUGAAGUUAAAGGCUGUGGCUUAACCAUAGUAGGCUUUGGAAACUGUUUAACUUGAGUGCAAGAGGGGAGAGUGGAAUUCCAUGUGUAGCGGUGAAAUGCGUAGAUAUAUGGAGGAACGCCGGUGGCGAAAGCGGCUCUCUGGCUUGUAACUGACGCUGAGGCUCGAAAGCGUGGGGAGCAAACAGGAUUAGAUACCCUGGUAGUCCACGCUGUAAACGAUGAGUGCUAGGUGUUGGGUCCUUUCCGGGACUCAGUGCCGCAGCUAACGCAUUAAGCACUCCGCCUGGGGAGUACGACCGCAAGGUUG